rnacentral:lncRNA from 1 species
AUUAAAUGAUUUCCCAAGAACCAAGAAAAUUCAAAACAACAAUUGAGAUAUUGAAGCUCUCCACCGACUGGGAAAAUAGUAAGUUCAACAAAUAAAUUUAUAAAUAAUAUAGCCCAGAAAAUUUUCCUAAAAAUUUCUUCCUCCCUCCUUACAGAUGCUUAACUUAAAUGCCGAGGAGUAUGGAGCUACUUCUUUCAUUUCACCGGAAACUAAUUGUAAAUGCAAAAUAAUGUGCUUCUUGAACUGCAGCUCUACCUCUCCAUUAACAGAAUUGGCUCUGGAAACAUGGUGUAACCAAGAAUGAGUGAGGGCUUUGGCAUCAGAAGAACAUCAGGGUUUUGCUUUUUCUCUUCCCAUUCUUCAGCCAAUUAUUUACCUUUUCUGAACCUCAGUUCCAUCAUCUAUAAAAUGGUCAAAUGAAUUGUCUACACAGUAAUGCACGUAACACAAUGACAUGGUACAUAAGGUUGCUCAGAGGGUAACUUUUUCCUAUUGUUUCCCUUUUGUAUGAUUGUAUCUUUUCACAGCAUGGCCUAUUUUCUUUAUAGCAAGGGCACUAGCAGCAUCUGCCAUGCUGGGAACAUUUCGCAAGUAUUCAGCAGCAUCCUGGAUUACUAAAGGCACGAACUAGGACUCUGAAUUACCAAAGAGGUGAACAAAAUUAUACACUUAGUGAUGACUCAAGUCCUUGGGAGUGAAUUAACAUUUACCUGUUCUAACUAAAUAUCUCAUUGGGUAAAUUGUUGGCAGAUGUUGAAAGAAAAAAAAUUGCUAUGAAACAAAUAUGAUUUUAUCAAAUGAGCUAAGCUCUGAUUUUUACUUUAUGUUUUUGCAGAAAUAAACAUAUCUAUCACAUCAGUGAAUUUAUGCUAGGCUUCUUAAUAUUAAUAUUCUAUUUUAGAGAUUUUUUUUUCAAGUGUUCCUUUUUUUUUUUUUUUUUUUUACAAAAUCCUGAUCUAGGCUUGCUGCUAAGAAUACCAAAAUGACAUUUUAAAAAACAUUGAAACUCUCCAUCUAUUGGGAAUAUAAUAAAUACCACCAAUAAAUUCAUAAAUAAUACAACCUAGAAAACAUUUCUAUAAAUUUCUUCCUCCCCCCAUUCCCACUGAACCGGCAACUUAUGUCCCUG